rnacentral:rRNA from 1 species
UACAGAGGUCUCAAGCGUUGUUCGGAUUCAUUGGGCGUAAAGGGUGUGUAGGUGGCGCCGUAAGUCAGGUGUGAAAUCUCGGGGCUUAACUCCGAAACUGCAUUUGAUACUGCGGUGCUUGAGGACUGGAGAGGAGACUGGAAUUUAUGGUGUAGCAGUGAAAUGCGUAGAGAUCAUGAGGAAGACCAGUGGCGAAGGCGGGUCUCUGGGCCGAUACUGACGCUGAGGAGCGAAAGCGUGGGGAGCGAACAGG